UGCUGAGGAUACGGUUAACGGAGCGAAAGCGACGUUCAACCGCAAAAGAAGCAGAGGGGGCUUAGUGGUGGGGUGACUGCGUACCUUUUGUAUAAUGGGUCAGCGACUUAUAUUCUGUAGCAAGGUUAACCGAAUAGGGGAGCCGGAGGGAAACCGAGUCUUAACCGGGCGUUAAGUUGCAGGGUAUAGACCCGAAACCCGGUGAUCUAGCCAUGGGCAGGUUGAAGGUUGGGUAACACUAACUGGAGGACCGAACCGACUAAUGUUGAAAAAUUAGCGGAUGACCUGUGGCUGGGGGUGAAAGGCCAAUCAAACCGGGAGAUAGCUGGUUCUCCCCGAAAGCUAUUUAGGUAGCGCCUCGUGAAUUCAUCUCCGGGGGUAGAGCACUGUUUCGGCUAGGGGGCCAUCCCGGCUUACCAACCCGAUGCAAACUGCGAAUACCGGAGAAUGUUAUCACGGGAGACACACGGCGGGUGCUAACGUCCGUCGUGAAGAGGGAAACAACCCAGACCGCCAGCUAAGGUCCCAAAGUCAUGGUUAAGUGGGAAACGAUGUGGGAAGGCCCAGACAGCCAGGAUGUUGGCUUAGAAGCAGCCAUCAUUUAAAGAAAGCGUAAUAGCUCACUGGUCGAGUCGGCCUGCGCGGAAGAUGUAACGGGGCUAAACCAUGCACCGAAGCUGCGGCAGCGAACGUAUCACUUAAAGCGAUUCAGCGGGUUACGAUUGACGGAGCGAAGCGACGUCAAAGCGUAUACAAAGUCGAGUCGGUUUAAGGAUACGUUCGUUGGGUAGGGGAGCGUUCUGUAAGCCUGUGAAGGUGGCCUGUGAGGGUUGCUGGAGGUAUCAGAAGUGCGAAUGCUGACAUAAGUAACGAUAAAGCGGGUGAAAAGCCCGCUCGCCGGAAGACCAAGGGUUCCUGUCCAACGUUAAUCGGGGCAGGGUGAGUCGACCCCUAAGGCGAGGCCGAAAGGCGUAGUCGAUGGGAAACGGGUUAAUAUUCCCGUACUUGGUGUUACUGCGAAGGGGGGACGGAGAAGGCUAUGUUGGCCGGGCGACGGUUGUCCCGGUUUAAGCGUGUAGGUGUGUGUUCCAGGUAAAUCCGGUUCACUUUAACACUGAGGCGUGAUGACGAGGCACUACGGUGCUGAAGUAACAAAUGCCCUGCUUCCAGGAAAAGCCUCUAAGCAUCAGGUAACAUCAAAUCGUACCCCAAACCGACACAGGUGGUCAGGUAGAGAAUACCAAGGCGCUUGAGAGAACUCGGGUGAAGGAACUAGGCAAAAUGGUGCCGUAACUUCGGGAGAAGGCACGCUGACAC
rnacentral:rRNA from 1 species